GCCAGACUCCUACGGGAGGCAGCAGUGGGGAAUAUUGCACAAUGGGGGAAACCCUGAUGCAGCGACGCCGCGUGAGUGAAGAAGUAUUUCGGUAUGUAAAGCUCUAUCAGCAGGAACGAGACAAGACGGUACCUGACUAAGAAGCCCCGGCUAACUACGUGCCAGCAGCCGCGGUAAUACGUAGGGGGCAAGCGUUAUCCGGAAUCACUGGGUGUAAAGGGAGCGUAGACGGCUGUGCAAGCCUGAAGUGAAAGGCGGGGGCCCAACCCCUGGACUGCUUUGGGAACUGUACGGCUGGAGUGCAGGAGAGGUAAGUGGAAUUCCUAGUGUAGCGGUGAAAUGCGUAGAUAUUAGGAGGAACACCAGUGGCGAAGGCGGCUUACUGGACUGUAACUGACGUUGAGGCUCGAAAGCGUGGGGAGCAAACAGGAUUAGAUACCCCCGUAUC
rnacentral:rRNA from 1 species